CUACGGGCCGCUGCAGUGGGGAAUAUUGCACAAUGGGCACAAGCCUGAUGCAGCCAUGCCGCGUGUAUGAAGAAGGCCUUCGGGUUGUAAAGUACUUUCAGCGGGGAGGAAGGGAGUAAAGUUAAUACCUUUGCUCAUUGACGUUACCCGCAGAAGAAGCACCGGCUAACUCCGUGCCAGCAGCCGCGGUAAUACGGAGGGUGCAAGCGUUAAUCGGAAUUAUUGGGCGUAAAGCGCACGCAGGCGGUUUGUUAAGUCAGAUGUGAAAUCCCCGGGCUCAACCUGGGAACUGCAUCUGAUACUGGCAAGCUUGAGUCUCGUAGAGGGGGGUAGAAUUCCAGGUGUAGCGGUGAUAUGCGUAGAGAUCUGGAGGAAUACCGGUGGCGAAGGCGGCCCCCUGGACGAAGACUGACGCUCAGGUGCGAAAGCGUGGGGAGCAAACAGGAUUAGAUACCCCGGUAGUC
rnacentral:rRNA from 1 species